rnacentral:lncRNA from 1 species
CAAUUUUGGUGUCUGGGUAUGUAGGGGUUUUUUAUAUUAUAUUCUUUAAUUUUGUAUGUUUGAGAUUUCCUGUAAUAAAUUUUCAAAAAGAGUGCAACAGAUUACCAUUGACACAUUUUUAAUUGCUGAUAUGAGAUUAUUUCACAUAAAAUAUCAGAAUUUAAGCUGGGAAAGAGUCCAGAUUUUGUGUUUCAGUGGUAGAGCUCUUGUCUAGCAUGAGUGAAGCUCUGGAUUCUAUCCUUGCACACAAAAGAAAAGAAAAAAGUCAAAAUUUAAGAGGAGAAGUGUUGCAGGUUGAGUUCCUGAGGAAGCAGACAAAGAGGGAAUUUAGCAUGUAGGCAGUUAUUAACGUGAGUCCUUGGGCACAACAUCUUUGGGAGGGAAUAGGAAGAACUGGAGGGGGCACAGGGAGAAGCUGAUCUGCAGCAUCCAGUGACGGUGAGGUGAAGUGAGCACUGGAUCUGUCACAGCUUUCAAAGACAAGCAGAAUUGUGCCAAGAUGGCUAGGCCUUCAUACACACACACAGGCACACAUAGCACACAUGCACGGCAUACACACAAACUCUCUCACUGAUCAUUAAUUGGCCGUGACAGUCUCAGGGGUGGAACUCAGAGGAGGCUAAUCGGCAGCCUCUAAUUGGACAGCACUCCCAGCUACUAAGGCAUCCAGGCCCCAGUGGAGGGAUCUGAGUGGUGCCUCACAGAGUUCAUUGCAACAAUGUAGUUGGUACUCCAUAUCUGUGGUUAUUGAAUUCAGGAAUUCAUCUGACCACAGAUUGAAAAAUAUCACACCUGCAUUUUAUGCUAAUUAGAAGCUCUGAUCAGCAGCUUUAGAUAUCUUGAUGGAAAACCUAAAUAAAUUAAGUUUAGGACAUUCUUUCAGUAAUAAAGGUGUUUUGGUGAAAAGAUUGGAAACUAUUCUUUGGUGCUUUGUGAAAUUAUUUUGGAUUAAUGUGUACACAAGAUAUUGUCAUUUCUUUAUAUUAAUUCAGAAGUUAUUUUUCAAAUAAUAAUUUUUCAAUAUUGAAAUCUG